GUUUGAUCCUGGCUCAGAUUGAACGCUGGCGGCAGGCCUAACACAUGCAAGUCGAACGGUAGCACAGAGGAGCUUGCUCCUUGGGUGACGAGUGGCGGACGGGUGAGUAAUGUCUGGGGAUCUGCCCGAUGGAGGGGGAUAACUACUGGAAACGGUAGCUAAUACCGCAUAACGUCGCAAGACCAAAGUGGGGGACCUUCGGGCCUCACACCAUCGGAUGAACCCAGAUGGGAUUAGCUAGUAGGUGGGGUAAUGGCUCACCUAGGCGACGAUCCCUAGCUGGUCUGAGAGGAUGACCAGCCACACUGGAACUGAGACACGGUCCAGACUCCUACGGGAGGCAGCAGUGGGGAAUAUUGCACAAUGGGCGCAAGCCUGAUGCAGCCAUGCCGCGUGUAUGAAGAAGGCCUUCGGGUUGUAAAGUACUUUCAGCGGGGAGGAAGGGAUGAUGUUUAAUACGCAUCAUCAUUGACGUUACCCGCAGAAGAAGCACCGGCUAACUCCGUGCCAGCAGCCGCGGUAAUACGGAGGGUGCAAGCGUUAAUCGGAAUUACUGGGCGUAAAGCGCACGCAGGCGGUCUGUCAAGUCGGAUGUGAAAUCCCCGGGCUUAACCUGGGGAACUGCAUUCGAAACUGGCAGGCUAGAGUCUUGUAGAGGGGGGUAGAAUUCCAGGUGUAGCGGUGAAAUGCGUAGAGAUCUGGAGGAAUACCGGUGGCGAAGGCGGCCCCCUGGACAAAGACUGACGCUCAGGUGCGAAAGCGUGGGGAGCACACAGGAUUAGAUACCCUGGUAGUCCACGCUGUAAACGAUGUCGACUUGGAGGUUGUGCCCUUGAGGCGUGGCUUCCGGAGCUAACGCGUUAAGUCGACCGCCUGGGGAGUACGGCCGCAAGGUUAAAACUCAAAUGAAUUGACGGGGGCCCGCACAAGCGGUGGAGCAUGUGGUUUAAUUCGAUGCAACGCGAAGAACCUUACCUGGCCUUGACAUCCACGGAAUUUGGCAGAGAUGCCUUAGUGCCUUCGGGAACCGUGAGACAGGUGCUGCAUGGCUGUCGUCAGCUCGUGUUGUGAAAUGUUGGGUUAAGUCCCGCAACGAGCGCAACCCUUAUCCUUUGUUGCCAGCGAUUCGGUCGGGAACUCAAAGGAGACUGCCGGUGAUAAACCGGAGGAAGGUGGGGAUGACGUCAAGUCAUCAUGGCCCUUACGGCCAGGGCUACACACGUGCUACAAUGGCGCAUACAAAGAGAAGCGACCUCGCGAGAGCAAGCGGACCUCAUAAAGUGCGUCGUAGUCCGGAUUGGAGUCUGCAACUCGACUCCAUGAAGUCGGAAUCGCUAGUAAUCGUAGAUCAGAAUGCUACGGUGAAUACGUUCCCGGGCCUUGUACUCACCGC
rnacentral:rRNA from 1 species